rnacentral:rRNA from 1 species
UACAGAGGUCUCAAGCGUUGUUCGGAUUCAUUGGGCGUAAAGGGUGCGUAGGUGGCGCUGUAAGUCGGGUGUGAAAUUUCGGAGCUUAACUCCGAAACUGCAUUCGAUACUGCGGUGCUUGAGGACUGGAGAGGAGACUGGAAUUCAUGGUGUAGCAGUGAAAUGCGUAGAGAUCAUGAGGAAGACCAGUGGCGAAGGCGGGCCUCUGGACAGUUCCUGACACUGAGGCACGAAGGCCAGGGGAGCGAAUGGG